ACUCCUACGGGAGGCAGCAGUGGGGAAUAUUGCACAAUGGGCGCAAGCCUGAUGCAGCCAUGCCGCGUGUGUGAAGAAGGCCUUCGGGUUGUAAAGCACUUUCAGUCGUGAGGAAGGUAGUGUAGUUAAUAGCUGCAUUAUUUGACGUUAGCGACAGAAGAAGCACCGGCUAACUCCGUGCCAGCAGCCGCGGUAAUACGGAGGGUGCGAGCGUUAAUCGGAAUUACUGGGCGUAAAGCGCAUGCAGGUGGUUUGUUAAGUCAGAUGUGAAAGCCCGGGGCUCAACCUCGGAAUUGCAUUUGAAACUGGCAGACUAGAGUACUGUAGAGGGGGGUAGAAUUUCAGGUGUAGCGGUGAAAUGCGUAGAGAUCUGAAGGAAUACCGGUGGCGAAGGCGGCCCCCCUGGGACAGAUACUGACACUCAGAUGCGAAAGCGUGGGGAGCAAACA
rnacentral:rRNA from 1 species